CUUGAAAAUGUUUAGUUGCCAGUGGUGCCGAGGACAGAAAUAAUAGAAUCAGGAACGAAGCCUAACCUGACACAAAAAAUUACUACUACUACUAUCAUUAUUGUCAUGGCUGUUUUGGGCACUUGUGUGCAUGUUAAACAGUUAAGUGGUUCAGCACAGCUUGUCUGAUAAAAUAAACCGGCAAAAUCAAAUCUCUGUUGUCACCCCUAAAGGUUCCCCCCCACACACCUUACAUCACUACUUGGAAUUCAAAAUGCACUGUGGAAGUAGCACCUAUUAUAAAAUAUGUUUAGAAAAGAUGCAAAAUGCUCUUUCUACAAGUGUACUCCCAAGUUCCCACAAACAAGUAAUUGGGACUGCUGAAAGAGGCUAUGGGAAAUUUGAGCAAAGGUAUAUGCAGAAAUUAUGCAGAAAAAAAUAGCAAUUUAUUAAAAAUAAGAAUACAUAGAAAUGGUUAGUUGAUUCUGUAAAUUGGCAAAAGUAAACAAAUCCUGCUACCUGUAGCACACUCAGAGGUUUGAACAGUAUCCAUGCUUACUUUUUUCAUCACAGUAUUAUAUAUUUUUUUCCAACCACCACCAGGGCCUGAAGCCACCACCAGCUCUGCUAUGAAACCAGGUGCUUCCUUCCAUUGAAGGUAAAGGACCCCUGACAGUUAAGUCCAGUUGCAGACAACUCUGUGGUUGCUGCACUCAUCUCGCUUUACAGGCCGAGGGAGCCAGCAUUUGUCCACAGAGUUUUCCGGGUCAUGUGGCCAGCAUGACUAAGCCGCUUCUGGCGCAAUGGAACACCGAAACCAGAGCAGCGCACAGAAACGCUGUUUACCUUCCUGCUGGAGCGGUACCUAUUUAUCUACUUGCACUUUUUGGCGUGCUUUCGAACUGCUAGGGAGGCAGGAGCUGGGAUCGAGCAACAGGAGCUCACCCCGUCACGGGGAUUUGAACCGCCGACCAUGCGAUUGGCAAGUCCUAGGCACUGAGGUUUUACCCACAGCGCUACCUUCCAUUAGCAAGCAUUAUAUCAAGAUGCAUCAGAGGAAGGAAGAGGAAGGAUACAGGCCCACCAUACUCUAGCCAGGCUUCUCCCACCAUCAACUGUCACCUGGUAGCUCUACAUGCUGCUGUAUCAGAGGAUGGAAGAGAAGGAAACGGGUGCUAGCUCCUGUUUCACUGUGCUCAUUGUUUUAUUUAUUAUUUUAAAAUUUAUUGGUUGCUGUUUUAAAACCAAGGCAAUUCAAAGCAAUUUGUAAUAUAUAAACAAACACACAUUAAAACCAGCUUCAAAGAAAAACAAAAACCUAACAAUCCAAUUUGUAAAAGGCACAAUUAAAACAAGAUGGUCUCUGGCGUCACAGCCUCAGCUUUUGUAGCUGGAGUCAGUCAGGGACCUGCCCUUUCAGCAAUGGCGGAGCUUCAUGCUCCGUCACCAGGGGUGGGCGGAGAGCAGGCGGGGGCAUGGCCGGCGCACGUCCCAGGGGCAUGGCGCGUUUCCUAGGGGCGUGGCACGCCGCCUGUGGGGACGUGGCACCCAGUGCAGGUGGGGCCAGCCACAAUGGCAACCCACCGGGAUCACGCUGCCAGGUACAGUGUGCUCUCCCCGCUCCCCUCUUCCUCCACCUGUGCCUUUCAGACCAGGUGGGAAAAGGCCUGCAAGGCAAGGAGCAGGUCUUCCAGGACUCACAGCCAACAUGGUUAAACAGAUUUUUGAGGCAGAUUGACUUUUCUUUAGAUCCAAGCUGCAAAUGAGCUCCAAAGAGUGAAGGAGAGGAAGGCUAUGACUGAGAACAAAAGAUACAAGUCCCUUGGCGACUGAAGUAAAAACAGUUAAUGAGACCCUUGAGGGAUGAGUUUGCAAGCCAAAGAGCAGCUUCAUAGCCUUGUGUGCUGCUCCCUCUGUGAGUUCCAACAGGUGCUUGCAAGGCUUAGAGUUGGAUGUCUCUCCAAAGCCAUCUGAUCCCAAUAAAAUUCUGGGAACAAGUUUGAAAUACACCAGAGAGGUGACAAUUUCCAGAUGCCUGCUGAUACUUCAAUUAGUAGUCUAUGUAUUAUUGUAAUGUCCUGCUUUCCUAGAAUCGUCUUCUUCCAUUCUUUUUGUUUGCUUGCUUCUCUGUACAUUGUCAAGUGUAAAAAAUUUUUCCCCUUUUAUUUAGAUUUUAUUUCUGAAAUAUUUCAUUUCUUCAUUCAUUGGUUUAUUUCUAUAUCCCUUUAUGGCCCAAAGGCCCCCAGAGCAGUGAGCAGAUUAAGACAAGCCACACUUUAUACAUUUGCGAGCUGCAUUCAUGCUCUCACCCCAAAAUGCAGCUCCCCAGCACUCUCCCUGUCCUUUAGAAGCCAUAUUGACUCACAUUUGCCUCCCCACACCCCCGCUGUCAGCCACUCCAAGUCUCUCACCUUGGAGCAAGGCCAUCCACCAACAGUUGCUCAAUUCCAUAGGUGUUACAUUGCAAAAAUAAGCCUGCAGUUCUCAGCACUCAAACUAGAGAGUAGGUCCCAUUGAACUCUAAGAAGUAGUGCUGCGUAAAAGUUCUUUGGACUGCAAUGUAAAACAUUGAUGGCUUUAAUCCUCAUGAAAUCUAUCUGAAUCUGUUAAAACUGACUGAACCUUUUGUUAAAGUUAAUAAUGGAACUAGAAGUUAGAAGGUAACUACUAAGGUGAACACUUAAUGGAAUCCACAUUUUAAUCGAUCAGUUUGCUUGUAUACAGAUUGCACAUUACUUUAAGAAGAGCACAUAAAUAUAUUAUGUAUCUGAAAACUAUAACGAAAAUGGGAGUCCAAGGGCUAUUUUUAAAAGGUCAGGUUCACGGACAGAUGCUUAAUCUCUUGCUAUCUUUGUUUCAAUCAGCAGGUGGCAGAAGAUUCAAGGAUAUUCUGUACAUUGGAAGGAGGAUAAUAAUAGAAUAAUAAAAUCAUAUGAAAGCACUGACAUUUUAAAAUGUUUUUCAAAAUAUUUUUAGUAUGAGUUAAUAGCUCCAACUGACUAAGAUGAAGGUAAUUUCAUAAAGGGAUAUUAUUUAAACACUCCUAUGUGGUAUUCUUUUUGGAAGUGAAACCUCCACUCUGAGCCUGCAGGAAAUACUUUACAUAUUGUUCACUGCAAUACACUCAUGUAAAUCCAUACAAACAUCUAUUAUUAUGAGUGGGCUCAAAAUCCAAAUGUUUUUUUGGGGGGGGGAAUUGAAACACCCACCUAGCAAGCUAGUCUGUUUUCCAUAUAAAACAGCACAGUUUGUAUUCCCCUAGGGUAAAAUGUAAUAAUACACACCAUUGGCAUCUCUUUACUUGUAUGCCAGAAGAAUGUGCGCCUAACAACUCACUACAUAUCAAACGAACAGCAAUAAAUUUAACCAUUCAAAAGACAAGAACAACUGCAAAUAACCAUACUGUCAAUAAACAAAUAGAGAAUAGAAUCAGGAAAACACAUAAAGAUAUACAACUUUUUUCUAAGCGUAUAUAAACUGACGAAAUUCAAUGGCUCAAAAUUAAACGAGAGAGAAUAAAGCUUCACACAGAAAUAAUAAUUGUAGCAUGCAAGAUAAAAUAGAUUUCCAUUUCACAAAGGCAGCAAAAUUCUACUCUGGAGGAGCCCUGGGGGGGAGGGAUAGAAUGGCAUGAGUCUUUACAACAAGGGUCUUCUGUAUAUGGCCUCCGCACCACACCAAAAGCAUACUGCAAGACAAAGUUAAUAUUGUUACACACACCACCCCAAUCUCCGAGUGGUGAGAGAUUUCAGGGUUUCUAGGUGCUUACCUAGGGUUCCAAUUCCCUUGGAAUGAGGGACAGCGGAGACUAUGGUGUCUUUAUGAUAUAUGUUUUUAAUGUUUUGUGCUUUAUUGUGUUUUAUAUAUUCUGUAAGCCACCUGGAGUGCCUGGGGAAACCCAACCAGAUGAGCAAGGUAUAAAUAAUAAAAAAUAUUAUUUUUUAUUAUUAUUUAGUUUAUUUACGUAUAUAUAAACCUGAGCCAAAGAUGGAGGGUCUCAUAGCGUUAACACCUCAAAAGGUUUUGCUUCUGCCAUAGUCACAGCCUUGGAAUCAAACAUGGCUCUCACGCUCUGGCUUCUGCUUGCAGCCUGCUUCCAGUUCAGCUAACACACAUUUUGCUUUUGUCUUCUAAUUACCAGCCAGGUGUGGGAGGGGAUCUAUCCAUUUGCCCUCUGGCACAAAGCGACUUCUUUUGUUACACUUACAACAGUACUUAGGUGGUACUUAAGUAGCAACUAUGACCAUCAUCUCACAAAGAAAUUUGCCUGACUAGUUCAACAAUGGAAGCUUCCAUUAGAUUUUAACGAUUGUUGGAAUUAGAAGGGAUUUAGGCAUCAUAUAGAUGCAAAACUCACAACAAUAUUAUAAAAGAGCAUCUCUCAGUAUAAAAAUCUAUUUUAGCCUAGGUUAUGAGCACAAUAUUUCAAGUAAGCCUCUUUGAAACAAGCAGGUGCUGCAUGGAAUAGCCAGCAGUGUUGAGUCUAUCUAUAUACGUGCCAGAGUCUUACAAGUUCACGAAGCCAUAAUGAAUUCCUGUUGUCACUUUUUGAGCUGCAAGAAUAUUUUGGGAGAAAUCUAUCAGCCUCUGAAAGAAAUGCAAACGUUGCAGUGCCAGCUUUGACAGUUGU